rnacentral:rRNA from 1 species
AUGGGAGUGAAAAACUCCCACGCCGAAAGACCAAGGUUUCCUGCGCAACGCUAAUCGGCGCAGGGUGAGUCGGCCCCUAAGGCGAGACCGAAAGGUGUAGUCGAUGGGAAACUGGUUAAUAUUCCAGUACUGCUUGUUACUGCGAUGGAGUGACGGAGAAGGCUAGAUCUACCGGGCGUUGGUUGUCCCGGGGAAAGUAUGUAGGCAGAGAGCUUAGGUAAAUCCGGGCUCUUAUAUGUCGAGAUACGAGACCAUUGGCCUUUGUGCCGAGAAGUGGUCGAUGCCAUGCUUCCAGGAAAAGCUUCUAAGCUUCAGGUAACAAGUAACCGUACCGUAAACCGACACAGGUGGGUGGGGUGAGAAUCC